GUGGGGGAGGUCGGGGGAACGGGGAGGCUAGCGGCGUUGGGCAGCCUGGCUGGAGGAGGAGAGAGGAGAGAAACCAAUGUGACGCUCCCCACAGACUGAGGCAUCCUGAUGGAGCCAUUGACCAGCUUGGCCAGUGCCAUUGACAGCAGGCUCGCUGAGUGAUUGCGCACUUCAGAUUGCAUUCCUUUGACUCCGCUCAUACACUCUUGGUUUCUCCAGCUACCUGGAACUGGGAUAAUAAGAUGUAGCAAAGCUAUGCUCAGCUCCCUGAAGAGCCUGAGAACCUGCACCAGUAUCUCAAGGAAGAGACCAGAUGGGAUAGGUCAGACCUACUGAAAAAUAGACGUCAGCCACAUAGUACAUGUGCCACCUCCAUGACUCCCAUUGCUCUGGGGCCUGGGUUCCAAUGCAGACACUCAUCCCAACUGGGGUAGACAUCACUUUGGGAGGGAAUGUUCUUAGGUGGAAGGUGACCAAGUCUGGUCUGACAAGCUAACCAGGUCAGGCCUUGUCGUAACUGGGUGGGAGAUAUCCCAGUACACCCAAGUGGGGCAGGAAGAGUUGCAGGUGGUUCAGUAUGUGGUGCUGUAUCUCACCCUGGGGGCAGUUGUAUUUUCAUGGUGGGCAAAAUGAUUCCUGUGGAAAACAUCAGUAAGGAGCUGGGUGCUAUUUCAAAAUUAAAGAGAAGAAAGAUUGUCUAGACUCAUUAGACAGUCAUGUUCUCCCUGGUUUCCCCUCCCACCACCACAGGGUGAGUCUGGACACGUUGUCUGAUAGGCUGGAAAUGCUUGCAGUCCAGCUACUACUACUUCCCUAAUGAUACUAAGACCUGGGAUAACAGCAAGAAGAACUGCACAGGGAUGGGCUCCCGUCUAGUAGUGAUCAAUACCAAGAUGGAACAGGUAGGCUGCAGCAUUGAAGGCAUCCCCGGGAAUUCAGUGCCCAGUCCCAGAGGGAAUCCACCUGCCCCACAUAUCUGCUCUCUUCAGUGAGAGAGGGGAAUUAAUUCUUCACAUUCCUUCAAUAUUGGGCUUUCUUGACCCAUCUCUCCCCCACAAGGACCCCCACCUCACAUACACACUCUACUCAGACUCUUGCCUUCUCAGGUCUCUUCUGUGAAUAAAUCUGAUUGAGAUUGGGGGCAGGCAGUUAUCCAGGAUUUCAUUUCACAGUGAGCAAGAAACAUCUCACUGGGUACACUGAACAACUACUAUAUCAGUCUCAUGGAUCAGGCUGUGGAAGACCAGUGGCACUAUGUACACAAGAAUCCAUGUAAUACAACUGUACUGUGAGUACCUCCUAGAAAAGAAACUAUUUACCAUCCCCCACUUAGCUUCAAGGAUGAAUUCAGUCUGUGUAAUGUAUAUGUGGGAUGGGAAGUAGGGAAAGGAUCAGAACAAGGAGUGUGUGACCUCUGCCCCCUACUGGAGCUAAUGGGAGGGCACACAAUUCCAGUCCUCAUCAGAAUUCCAGUAGAUUACAUUACAAUACUUCAGCUGGUCUCCUAUAACUUCUACUGGGGAACCAACAGCCAUGCUGCUCUGGUUCUCAGCCUGGCCCCACCCUCCUGCCUGGAGCCCUCUCCUGCAGCCCAAGCCCCUCAUCCCCGGCCCCACCUCAGAGCCCACACCCCCAGCUGGAGCUCUUACCCCCUCCUGCACCCCAACCCCCUGACCCAGCAUGGUGAAAAUGAGCAAGUGAGUGAGGGUGUGGGAAAGUGAGUGACGAAGGGGGGAGGAAUGGAG